CCAGGACCAAGAUGAGGUGCCGGGAACUUCUGGCUCCUCAGUUCCGUCAAGUCGCUCAGCAACACCAGCAGCUGCUGCAACUGAAAGCCAACCAACAGAAGAUGACUUAGAGUCUGACACAGAUAGGACUCCAAGGCGGAAAAAAGCACGGCGGUCACCAAGGAAACAACAGAGGUAAAUCAAGAAUGAUUACAUAAUACACGACUACUAAAAAAACUGUUUCAACUUGCAGCCCACUGAAAGCCCCUCAGCAUGCUGCUGUAACUGCUGCCUGUAUGGAGCACCUCCAGGCGGUGCGGACUGAGAGGCAGCAGAAGCAACAACUGCAGCGGGAGCCACAAGAUGUCGUAUACCAUACGUGCAUGGCACUUGCCGCACAGCUGCGAAUGCUUGGUCCGAGAGACCAGUCAGAGGCGAUAUUCGAAAUUCAAACAAUGAUGUAUCACCGACUCCAAGGAGCCAUGAAUGAACAAAAUUCUCACUAAUGUUUUAUAUGCUUACUUCAUCCACACAUAUUUCUUCUACUUUGCUGCACCACUGUAACACUAUACUUUUUACUUCUGUUUACCUGUUAUGCAUCUUGUUUGUUUCUUUUUUCUCUUACUUGAUUUAGACUGUAUCGUCCAUUGCUUCAUGCUUUUUAUCUGUAAUCAUGUGUUCAAAUGUUAUUUAUUAUGAGCUGAACUUCUCCCUUUUUGUAUUGCUUUUACAAACGCACUGUUAAUAACAUCGCCUUCACACAAUGCUCAGGGGCCUGUAAGGUAUCUUAAAUAAACAAACAUUUUGGAUGGCAUUUCUUCCUUUGGCAUUUCUCGCUUGGCCCAUUUUCAGAUUUACUGAUAUAUGGAAUAUGUCAGGAAAUACGGUUUGUGCAGUACUGAAAGGGUGUGGUAUUCACCUGCAACUACCAAUGAAAACUAUUCACAUUUUUACAAAGCCAGCUGUUAUGGGGUUAACUGCUGCCACCUUUUCAUGAUCUGUGAUUGCAUGUGCCUUUUUGUCUGUCACAAGUGCUGCCAAAUAUAUAGGUGCAGACACAAGUAAACAGAGCAUGCUAUUCCGUUCUAAUUGCAAUCAGCCCUUUCCUUUUGACAUGAAGAAACACUGUUUGUCCAUGAGGAAGCACACUAGUGUCCACCAGCAGCCCGCACAUACCGCAGAUGCCACUUUCAAUUACUGCACACGUGAAAAAUAUUAGAAGGCAAAAGCGUGCUCCAUUUGCUAUUGUCUGCAUCCGUACCUGCAACAUACAUAUGUCUCAAGAAUAAUUUUUAGAAGACGGCAAAGUGUACGAGGGUGCUGUCAUUACUGCAAGCAGGCAAUGCAAUAUAAAAUGUGUUUAAAGUGGCUGUAUGUAAA